GACGAACGCUGGCGGCGUGCCUAAUACAUGCAAGUCGAACGCUCAUUCUUUCACCGGAGCUUGCUCCACCGAAAGAAAAAGAGUGGCGAACGGGUGAGUAACACGUGGGCAACCUGCCCAUCAGAAGGGGAUAACACUUGGAAACAGGUGCUAAUACCGUAUAACACUAUUUUCCGCAUGGAAGAAAGUUGAAAGGCGCUUUUGCGUCACUGAUGGAUGAACCCGCGGUGCAUUAGCUAGUUGGUGAGGAAACGGCUCACCAAGGCAACGAUGCAUAGCCGACCUGAGAGGUUGAUCGGCCACACUGGGACUGAGACACGGCCCAGACUCCUACGGGAGGCAGCAGUAGGGAAUCUUCGGCAAUGGACGAAAGUCUGACCGAGCAACGCCGCGUGAGUGAAGAAGGUUUUCGGAUCGUAAAACUCUGUUGUUAGAGAAGAACAAGGAUGAGAGUAGAACGUUCAUCCCUUGACGGUAUCUAACCAGAAAGCCACGGCUAACUACGUGCCAGCAGCCGCCGUAA
rnacentral:rRNA from 1 species